AACCAUUUAAAUCAAAAACUUCUUUCUUUUUUUCCUUAAUUUUGAAUCUUGCUUUUUACUCUUCCCUCUUUCGGCUCAAUUCUUGAAUCUGCAAUUUGGGAGCUCCUCGAGUUGCAGGCCCAGCAAUUUCUUUCUACCCCAAAUUUACCUCUUUUCUUGGUAAUUUGUUUUUUUCUUUAUCUGGGUUUGAGUUUUAGGGUUUUUUCAGAAUUGGAUAGUGCUUAUUUAAAUAUUUAGUUCAUACUGUUGGGUAUUUUUUUAUUUUGGUAUUUGAAUUUGGAGUGUCAAUUUGCAUUUGUUUUUUUUUUUUUUUGGGAUUAAGGUUUAAUUAAUGACAUCAAAAACUUUGAGGCGGCGGCUCCAUCAUGAAGAUGUUGGUGGAAGAGGGAAUGAGCGUCUGGAGUCAUCUGGGUAUGAUGGCUUGAGUGAGCCUUUGUUAGCUAAUUAUCAAGAUGGUGAUCAGAGCCGUUCUGAGGUUUGAAUUUUGUUAGCAUUGAACUACUGAGGCUUAUUGAAUACAAAAUGAAUGAGUAAAAAAGCUUUUGAGACGACGUUUUUGAUUUGUUGUUGAUAUAGGGACACAGAGCAGAAGAUCUUUGGGAUGAUGAGGAGAAGAAGGCACGCUUGCAUUGGAUGUUUAUUUUCUCUCAGUUGAUCACACAAUGGGCGCAAUGGUUAGGUGUGGUUUACUUUUGUUAUGAUUCUCAGAAUUUCAGCUUCUUGCCUUUUUUUCAUCAUUUAGGAAAGACAUGAUCAUUUAGUUUGCCGAUUUGGAUGUAUUGGUACUUUCAGUCGCUAGUAAACUUGGCAAUAUGAAGCUUGUUUCUAAUCUAAUAGGCUUUGUUUCGUCUUGUGUGUGCGCUAUCAUGAGGCUUCGUGGUUAGAUAUGAAUUUUAUAUUGGAUGUUCCACAAAUCUGUAUUUAGAUGCUUGUGCAGGUUGCAAUACAAUUCAGAGUUGUUGGAUUAAUACUAGUGAAACUUAGAAAUGCAAAAUAAAGAAGUACAUCUGUUUAUUUGAGGCAAUUAUAUUGAUUCUUUUUUCUUUUCUUGUUUUUGUGUUUUGGACUGUUAAAAUGUCCCUAUCUGGUGCUAGUAUAUUCUGAUGAUGAGUUAAGAGCACACUAAAAGGUGUUAUUAAAAGAUCACUUUAGUUUACUAGAGACAUCAAAAUAUUUUUUUCUUAAAAAAUGGUAUACAUGUUAUGUUGUUUUUGAAAUGAUAGAUGAAAUUUAAGUUUUAAUAAGAUGUGAAUGAAUAUUCAUCCAAACAGUUUUAAAGCUGGAUGGGCAAUGUGCUGCCUGUUUAUCCUCUGCUUUCAAUAAUUUUGUUUUGUUUUGCAGGAAAUAAUGCUUAUAUUGCCCUUUAAUUCUUAAGUGUUCUGUGGUUUUUGACAAUAUUAUCUAGGAGGUUAUGUGUUUUGUUUACUAAAGGUUUUGCUCUUUUGGCUUUUGUAGCUAAUAUUGUAUUUGGAUCUGGGUCACUUAUUGGCAGAAUGCAAAUUAAAAUUUAUUGAAAACUUGAAUUAUUCUAGAGCAAGUUAAUUACAGUACAACGUGGAUUUGAGCACAGGUCAACUUAAUAUUGAAUUUAAAUUUAUAAAUUUUCUACAAUUUAUUACUGUCCUAUCCAUCAAACACAUUUUUAUGUCCCCCCCCACCACGAUUCAGUAAUUUGUAAAUUACAAUUAAAAAUUUAUUGAUCUGCUUGAAUUAUUCUAGAUCAAGUUAAUUACGGCGCAACAUGGUUAGAGAUCUAUUAGGUCUACUUUAGAUUAAGUUUAUUAUGUUACAUUUUAAGUUUUUAUUUUUAUUAAUGUUGAGAGAUAUUUGCUGUGCACAUAUUUUUAAGAGAGAUAUAUAUUCUUAAGUAAUUAAAUUGGGAGACUAAACCACGCAAGAGCCACUGCCAUCACAAUUGUGAGGACGGUAGUUUGAGCCCCCACAAAAUAUUGGUGGAACUUAAUUCAUUAUUUAAUUAUGAAAAAUAAAUGAAUAAAAAUAGUCUUUUAUCUUUUGAAAUGCGAAAUGCGGGAGGUCGAUAUUUUUCAAAUAUUAGAGGAUUAAAAUUUAGAAAACGCUAUAUAAGAUUUUAUCAUAGACUAGUCCUAGUAAUUAUGUCUAAUUGUUUAAUUUUAUAUAAAAUGAGUUAUGAUUUAAGUAAUAAUCUCAUACAAUUCAAAAAAACAUUAAAUAAGCCCAUUAAAGUAAACAAAAUAAGUAAAUAACAAAUCAUUUCCAGUAAAUAAAUAUGGCGUCGGCGGCACGUGAAAUGAAAGAUCGCAGGCCUCGACGAAUUUAAAUUUUGGUUUAUUUAUUAGGUGAGCUUUUUAUGUUUCUAAAAGGAGCGGUCUUUUACACGUUAUGUAGGAUCAGAAACGUCAUAGGCCCAAUAAGUAUCUCCAGCGUAAUUUCCGUUAAAUAAAUUAGUUAAAUUCGAAUUUCUUCCUUUUCCGUCUAAAUAAAGUCCACUUUGCUUUGCUUACUUGCUAAGUUUAUUAUUGACGUCACUUUGCAUUUUUUUUUUAAAAAAUUUUUCUUUCAUUCAUCUAUUUAUUGCAAAACUUUGUUUGUUUGCUUCCCCCUCAAAUUCAUCAUCUAACUAUUUUUAUACCUUACCCUUUUUAACCAUUUAAAUCAAAAACUUCUUUCUUUUUUUCCUUAAUUUUGAAUCUUGCUUUUUACUCUUCCCUCUUUCGGCUCAAUUCUUGAAUCUGCAAUUUGGGAGCUCCUCGAGUUGCAGGCCCAGCAAUUUCUUUCUACCCCAAAUUUACCUCUUUUCUUGGUAAUUUGUUUUUUUCUUUAUCUGGGUUUGAGUUUUAGGGUUUUUUCAGAAUUGGAUAGUGCUUAUUUAAAUAUUUAGUUCAUACUGUUGGGUAUUUUUUUAUUUUGGUAUUUGAAUUUGGAGUGUCAAUUUGCAUUUGUUUUUUUUUUUUUUUGGGAUUA
rnacentral:lncRNA from 1 species